UGUUUGACUGAGCAUUUGCAUCACACUUGACUCAGCUCUCUGUUAAUGGAAACUUCUGUAAAGGGCAGAAAGAUUGCUAACUUCAAAAUGCCUGAAAAAACAAACUGAGUAUCUGAGAACAGAAAAGUGCUCUUUGAACUUUCUGUGAAAAAUAUUAAGAAAGAGCAAAGGAUACCGUUCAAAGAGACUUUAUGUUACUUUUCAGACAAAAAAGUAUACAGUGGAGGUGAGAUUAAAAGUCCCUAUCACCAGGUCAGAAUUAAAGAAAUGUAGCGUUGUAGUACUUAUUCCGAAACUAAGCUUUAUACAAGGUGGAAAUCAACGGCAAAGUUAAAUAUGAAAUAAAUCCAGCAAGAUUAGAGAAGGGCACCAUAACCCUGUCCCUGCAGUGAUCCAUGUAAUAGCUCUGUGCCGGUGCUGUGAUGACAUGUCAGCAAUACCACAUUAAAUGUCCUUUAAGGGCACAUUAGCUUCUUCUCUUUUUUGUGCUUCUAGGACUUUCCUUCACUCCUUGAUGAACAAAUUUUGGUGCCUUCUGCCCUCUCCCCCUUAUCCCCAUGUCAUCUGCAAACAGCACUGCGCCGUCCUCUCCAGACCUUCCUCCUCAGCUGACUGCUGCAGCCAGUAAAGGAACCCUUGCUAUUUCCAGAUACCAGUUCACUUCUUUUUUUCCCCUUCCGUUUUCAGCAGAGAUUCCUGCACAGCAGCUUGUUCAAAACAGCUGCUCCGUGCAAGCCCUUUUGGGAGGGAUGCGGUCCCACACCAAGGUCCACCACCUCACUUGCCCCUCGCUGCCUCCCCUGGGACUGCAGAAGUCCUUGUGUUGACCACGGGGCUUGGCUGGUUUCAAAAGACAGCAGGAGAUGCAGCCUAUUCUACACAACAAAAUUAUUUGUCUGCCUUGGAAAGGAGAUGCUUGGGUGCACUGCCUGCGUUCACAGCUGGGGAAACUCCUUUUUUCGGAGACAUCACUGCAGCUCAGCUGCCUUUCAGCUUUGUUUUACCUCCUGGGAGAAACACCCAGCCAAGGUGGCUGUGGGAAGGAGACCUACUCCUGACCCUCCCCUAGACACCAUGUGUGUUUUAAUGCUGGCAAAUAGCCGACACCAUCUUCAAGAGGCAAGAAGGUAAAAGGGGGAGAAGUCCCCUCAGAGCCGCAGCAGGAACAGAUAUGGGUGAGUGUGCACGGAGCACAUCUACGCACCAGAAAAGAGAAGUUUCCAAACCCCCACACUACCCGGGAGGGGCCCAUACUACCCUGAUACUACAACCUCCUUUUUAGGUCCGGAAGGCAUAAACACCGACUAAUAUUACUUUUGGGAGACUCUGCCUAGCAUACUCUGUGUGGGAGUUUUCUAAAAGGUUGCUGCAAUAAAUGAUUUACCGGGACAGUAAAAAGAUGAAGAAAGCGCUGAGCUAGCUUCUUAAGACAAAUUACUUUCUUCACCCACUCCCUGAAAUCCUUUAAAAAGUCCCUGUAAUGAUUAACUUUCCAGAAUUCUAAAAUCUGCUCAAGAUCAGGUUUUACUCCCGCAUGUAUCUCCUGGGAUAAAGAUCCUUCAUGCUCUGGGAUUGAAUCCCAUUUGGUGCAUGCACGUUUGGUUUGGGUAUCCAGUUGUUUCCUUGUCACCUGAGUUUUCCUGCAGAGACCUUGUUAUACAGGGUCGAUGUUUGGUAAUGCAACGUGUUUUCUGCUAAACAAAACACAAGAGAGUGUUUAGACCUCCUUUUUACAUUCAUUUUGUUAAAAUAGUUUGUUCCAGGCAUAGCACAGAUGAAACCAGACUCGCAGUGAGGAAGGAAAAGGCAAAUGGGGCGAUGCCAGUGGAGGCAGAGAGCAAUGAUAAGGCAGACAGAGAAAUGGCUGCGCACACAUGGGGGUCCCUUGCCUCUCCAUGUUGCUGGUGCCUCACAGGGACCCCUGAGGAGUUUCACAACACACACAAUAAAGUAAUGAUGGUAGGAGACACUUGGAGGAGAACAACAGAAUGGAAAAAAAAAUUAGUCAUAACUGUACCUCAUUAGGUAAUAAACAAUGAUGUGUAUUUCUGGUGAUAAUGAUCCUGCAGUUCACUCUUUCUACUUAUUCUAACUUCCCCUACUGUGCCACUGCUGUCUAAUAUGAGAUAUUUACGUGAAAGAUGAGUUAGGAAAUUAUGUUCCACACCAGGUAUAAUAAGCGAAGCUAUGGAGAGUAGCCUCUCUCUCCUCCUUCUCUGCUUCUAUACCUAUCAUUUCCAGUGGUUUCUAGCACCCAUCCACAGACGUUAAUAAGGAGCAUUAAAUCUAUUCUCUUCAUUUUACUGAAGGGGAAACUGAGGCACAGAACACCUUGCCUGUGGACACAGACCUAGCAAGCAGCUGGGCCAUUUUGCCCAUGCAUACUUCAAACAUUUCUGAUGCCUCCAUACAGAAUUUUAUUAAUUACUGACGAUUUGUAGCAGACAAACCCAUAUGAAGGCCUUAUUAGCACUGUGCACACACAGUGUGAAGAGCUUCUGCUCCCCAAAGAGCUCCCAAAAGGCUUGCAGCUUUAAUAGCCCAUAGAAGCUCACAUUGGGAACAAAAAUCUUUUAAAACAUUGCUCCCAUAGCAAUUUUAAUUAUGGCAGAUCAUUAGUCAGUAAACCAAUGCUCUGGGGCCACUUAUUGAGCAAUAGAGCCCUGGUGUCCCCAGCUGCAGCUGCCAUUCCAGGCUGGAGAGUCUCGCAGUGCUAACAAAAGCAAUUACAGAAAUAUUUCGAGACCCUUAGCAGAUGCAGGCAGGGCGGCUCGUCCACCUACCACUACCGGGCUGAGCAGCUCGCAACACCAGGGAGGAGAAAACCUGCUGGGGAUGUGGAUGUGGACAGCCAAAGGUGGGGUGCUUGCCCCCUUUUAGCAGUAAUUUGGUGCCCAAGGGCUGCAUGCACCUUCGAAGCGCAGCGUGGCUGUUUUGAAAGGCUGCCAUCAGCCAUCUAAUCCCGUAAUAUAGGGAGAAACCGCGCUGUCAGAGCAGACCUCAUGUCCUUCUUGCAGGGGCUGCCACUCCCCCGCAUGCUCCUUUGACCCUCCUGUCAGAGCAGACAGCCCUCCCGGCAGGAACCGGUUAACAGGAUGGUGCCGAGUGGCGCUGACAGGCAGCAGCUCUGGAGGAAGGCAGUCACGGCUUUAAAGAAGAAAAACCACUGCUGAGCCGUCACAAAAAGAGCCACGCUAUUUAUUUUCCUGGGAGGUGAGUGGGAAGGCGUUCAAAGCAUGGCUGUUAUGCUGCUCUGGCACGGGAAGUGCUUUUCCAAAUUGAAAUCUUCCAUCAGAGUGGCCUGGAAAACGGCGUGUGGUUUCUAACCACGGCUCAUUCCUUUUGGCUCGGCCUGCUCUCCCAGGUUCGAGCCCGCAGCCUCUCCAGGAGAAGCGCGAGAGAAGCACGGCAUCCCUGCGCGUCCGCGCCGGCCUAACCCUGGGGCCUGCAGGUAGCAAACCCAAACACCCUCCCGAAAAGGAUCUCGCCUGGCAGGGGGCUGAAAGAGCAAAACGAGCCCCUUGCCGAGGCGGGGAGCAAGAAGAAGUUGUUAUUUGCUGGCAUGGAGGGGAAAGGAAGGAGGGAUGCUGAAAGGGUACUGGGCAGCUGCUUUUCCGGUUGCUCUGGGAGCCAGGAGAAGAGCCUUUGAUCUACUGAGCAGGCCUGGGCUGGCCGCCAGGACCUGUAUCCUUUCUCCUGCAGCGACAGCAGGCUUCCUCGCUCGCUCCUCUCCCAUCGCCGAGUCAAAAAAACAAGUGACGUAACUCAUACAGGGACCUCGCUGAAAUGUUGCUAUUAUCACUGGCUCUGCAGAAAACAUAUGCUACGAGGGCCUCAGUCUGGAAUAAUCUUCUCAUUCAGGGAAGGGGGAAAAAAAUAGAAAAGAAACCGUGAGGUCCUCUGGAUUACAUCUUGCAAAGCCUCAUAAAAAGCCCUCUUGCGUACUGAUGAAUUAAACCCAUUGGCUCCACAGUAGCAUUGCUAUCUCGACAUAGCACCUUGGCCAAGCAAGCCCUCUCCCAGAUUUCCUUAUGCUCUUAUAACUGUUGUGACCAGCAGAUGAAAAUAGGAAUAUGGCUUCCAGACCUGUAUCUUAAAUGAUGCCAACAAGACAGCACUUAUUAAGGAACGAGCUGUUUCAAAACAAUUGUCAGCUAUUUUCAGUACAGUGGAGGCCAGCCUGUUUCAUUUGUGGUGUUGCCUGAGAAAGGGGAACAUGAAGGCAGCUGUGUUUCUCAGCUCUCUGACCAGCAUGACCAGACUAUACAGAGCUUCCCUGAGAACCAGCUGGCCUUUUGUCCUCACCAGCAUAACGUGACUACCUCCAUCACUGAAGGUAAAUUCUGCUUGGACGUAAUCCAGACCUACAUCUUUCCCCAGCCUCAGCCAGGAUUUGAAGGUCUCACUGCGUUAAACACAGAAACAUGAUACAUUCAAUUUCUAAUGAUUCUGACUCAAACAUUUGUGCAUUACAUAUUGUUACAAGAUCACCCUAUCACCUCUGGAACACAAUAGCUUUUACACUGUCACUUCCCCUUUCUUUUGGUGCUCACCAUCAAUACUGAGAACGCCACUUUGCAACACACUGGGAGUACAGGCUUGAGCCUGGAUGGUUCCAUGAAGUUAAUUCAACCAAGCACUUCUGUUCUCUGAGUCAUGUUUCCACCUUGCCAUCAGGUACUUGCUGCUCUGUAUCAAUAUUAUUUGCACAGUAGUGGCAGCUUCUCUUAAGCCCGAUCCCCAGCAAGAUGCACUUUUUGGCUCUGUAUUAAUUCUGUUUCCCAGGUCGCAGCUUAACACCGUGAGAUGCAAAAGCCAUCUCACCAGGUGUGCUGUUUUAACUAUGUCCAGCUGUGCUGAACUCAGCUGGAGCCUUCAUAUUUGGGUCAGGUUCUCUCUCCAGCCAUUAUCACAGUGACUUCAGCCUGCUCUGGAUGAAGCCCUUAAUCCCUGGUGCCACUUGGGGCACCAGUUUCAAUCUAUGACGCUGCCUGCUGCUUUUCAUAUGAACAGAUCCUGCAAGGAUUUUGUGCUUUCCCCGCCACUGCUAAGCUUUACUGAACCUAUCAGAUAUUGCUAUGUUUGAGAAGACAUUUUAAACACAAACUCAUUAAUGAAAUUGGGUGAAUUGAGAAAGGAACAAACCGCAGAAUAAGAACUAUGAGUUCGGAAAUUAUCAGUUAUUUUUACCUUCUAGCACACACUUUUGCAGAGUUCUUAUUGAACCAAUGCACCUGGAACCUGAUGUUUUUUUCACUUGAGACACUGUCUCACUUGUGUGCAAUUACUUGAAAAUAGGUCAACAUGCAUUGAGGGAACUCAUAGCUGGAAUAAACCCGUGCUGACAAUAAGAAUUACCAUCAAUUUUAAGAAGCCAUUUUGCUCACAGCGACACUGUAAGAGCAGCCCAAGCUCCACCUCGCUGCCACCGUCUCUGACAGGGCAAUGGAAGACUGCUCACUACUAGAACAAGGCAAUACUGUUCUCUCUCUCCCAGCCACUCUCCCAGCUCCAGCAACCUCCAGCUUAGCAAUUUCCCUAGUCUUAUGCAGUAUCCUUUGUAAUUGAUAGCCCUUAGUGGAUUUUACUUUUGCUCAUUUGCACAGUUGCCUCUUGAACCCAUACAGUACCAUCAAGACAUCUAAAUAAUUUUGCAUGUGUUUCAUAAAAACAGUGAAUGUCCUUCUCUAGCCAUGUGCAAUUCAAUGUCAGUUUUCUUGGCACACAAAUCAAUAUACCCUCUGUAUGACUCCCUCAUUGCAUUUUUCCUACCUGUAAGUGUUUGCCUUACUGCUGAUGACAUUGACUGAUGCAAAGACAGAGGUGUAAGCAGGAGACAGUUGCAGAUGUGGAAACAGUGUAAAAUGAAAUGUUUGUCAAAUGGAAAAGAACUACAUGGAUCACGAAAUAAAUGGUUUCCAUCUUCUAGCCGUGGACUUUGCAAAAAGAAAAAAAAAGCAAAAAGUUUUUUAUAAAGGAUAGCUUUGUUUGAGUAGUUGACACUUGAAUUUUUAAGAGAACUGAAAGAUGAGAUUUUCUGCUGUGUAAAUACUUGAAGCUUCAUUUCUGCUUUGUCAUCAGUAAUAAACACACAAGCUGUAGAAAUGUCAGCUGGAUUUAAAGGAAAUUACCACUAGCAUAACUAGAGAUAACACUGAAGAACGACUGGAAGGAUACAGCAGCAACCCCUUUUUGCCAUGACAGAUUUUGCUUGUGAUUGGCCUUUUGAAGCUGAAGGCACACGAUGACUUGGACUCUCCUAUGGGUGGGAAGAAGGUGGCCACAGCCUCCAACAGCCCCUCUCACUCCACUUGUUGAUAAGGCACCAGCAGGAGAUAUAAGGACCUUCCUUCUGGAAUUAAACCCAAACAGCCCAAGUUUGGAGUUCAGGAGGGAGACUUAAUGCCUAUAAGUUCUUCAGCUAGUAACUCUUCCUAUCCUUUUCCCAUGCCCACGACUCUGGCAAAUUACUCAGUCACUUAAAGGGCAUCACAUACCUAGAGAAGUUCCAAAAUUGGUACCAGCCAGAUCUUACUUAGCGUAGUGGGCUCCUGGGAUAUAGAGCUGAGACUUAGCCUGCUGGAAAACUAGCUCAGGAUAUAUGUUUUUGCAAUCUGGUGGUAAUAAAAAACAGCAGCAGUGUAUCUCCUAAGCCUCUUCCUCAGACUGCUAACAGUUCUGUAUGUCUCGUAUGCAACCAGCAUCAGACAAAGGGAGGUAAACCUAUAUAGUCUGAAAUAAUAAAAAAACCAACUCACUAAACCAGAUGUAUUGUAGCUAUCAUAGUUUCCACUGAUUUUUGCACAUCUUCAGUAACUGUCAAUCUGAAAUGCGAUCAGCUGACUGGCUGCAGUAUAUAACAAAUAUGUUCAUGUUUAUAUACGUCCCUGGUUUCAUUCCCCACAUGUACACAUUCAAAAAGCCUCAUGUUUUGCAGCCUUCACCCAAACAUCUGCAAUCAUUUAAGGAAUAAAACAGUCUGCCAUCUCAGCCUAGGCUGUUCAGCGCACACUACAACUGAUGUCAUUCUGGUAUUUUAGCUUUUCAAAAGAAACAAAUAGGUUUCCAGGCAAACCACAUCACAGAACAUGCCAUGGUUAUCGGUUCAAAGAGCCUUACUGGCUCAGCUGCUAGCGCUGGGUUUCAUCACGUCUUCCUGAGGUCAGGCAGGGAAAUGCUAGCCCAGGAAUAUACAUCUGUGUCUAUACAAAUAGCUUCAGACUGUUGUUUUUGCCCUGGCUGCCCCCCCGAAAUAGUCCUCUGCAAAACAUGAGAACUGUCAAGUAGAGGCUUGGCUGAGGACAGACUUUAAUAAGAAUCACGCAGUGUUCUUGAGUGUGGGUGUUUUGUGUGUCAUUGUAGGGAUGAAGGGAAACAGACUGAAACGGAGAUCAUUAAUGCACUGUCCCACCACCUUACCAUGAAAAGAUCCCUCAAACUUAUUUUCAAAAGUGCAUUCUGCUUGCAUUUUUUCUUUCCUCUAGCCCACACCGGAGCUGAUGAGAAAUAAAACUCCUGCAUGAUCCCAGAGAGUGGAAGUAAGACUGUGUCCAAGAAGGACUGCUUAGACCUUGGCUUCUCCAAUUUGGCAAACAAGGCUACACAUAUUUUGAGUCCCCAAAAUGACCCAGUAUGGAUCUGUGUUCCAGUGAGUGACAGAUCAGACAGGAUACAGCAGAGACAAAGCAGAACCACCUCUGGGGAUGCUCUCAGCUAACCUGGACAUGCUUUCAGUUAGCAGCCUUGCACAAAUCCUGGGUUGAUGCCUAUGUAACUUUUCUGAUGCAAAUUCUGCUGAAAAAAAAAAAAAAAAGAAACUAAGGAGUCUAGUAACAGGAAUGAAGGCAUUCUAACAGCUCAGCUUUGGUAGGUAUUGAUUAAAUGUUUCAGUGACUAAGGCUGACAGGCCAGCAGUGAUAAAAUUACACCAGGCUCUAAGUCAGGCUCCAGACAGGUAAACUUUCCACCCAAACAUCCUUUAUUAAAAUUAGACGAAUAAACUGGUCAGGGGACAUAAAGGAGUGCUGAGUUUCUAACUGACAUGUAAAUUCUUUGGAAUAAGAUGUCACACUACCUUGUAAAUGGCUGAUUUAGGGUAAAUGUGGUGUAGGAGACACUGUAUUUCAUAUUGAUGAGGUAUAUACUUUUGGAAAAGCUACAGUUUCUGAAGACCACAAACAUCAAAUGAAGUGUCCCAAUAUCUUGAUGUAAAGACAUAAGACGGAAAUGAAGGAAAUGGAAAAGCUGGCUGUAGAGACAAAUGUGGUUCAAGAGUUUCACCCCUGGAAAUCAGUCCCCAUGUUGCCACUGGGACUGUUGUCCAGGGCUUCUCUUUUGUAGUCUGACAUUUGCAGGCACAUGCUGCUGUGAUUGAAGUUCAUUUUACUGUAGGGGAUAAGGCCUUCUGAAAGAGACACAAAGGGCAGGCGCUGUUCAAAGUAGGCAUUCGAAAACACGGGUUUCUAAAAAUGUGUUACUAAAGAAGAAGAUCUAUAAGAGCAUUUCAAGCCAUAUUUUCCCAAGGGCAAUCUGACCUUUUUAUCCUUGUUCUUAUCCCUCAGGUGUGGGAUUUAUUUUCACAGACACAGAUCCUGAAAGAUCCGAGUGAGAAAUGAUUCUUCACAUUAUGAAUGCCUUGUCUGCUGUCUGAACACGUUGCCUGGCAAAACCUUCUUAGCUUUAAGGUAACAUCACAAUGAUUUCUUUUGAAUGCACUUUUUGCAGUGCGCCCUGGUUUUACACAAAUACUAUUGUUCAAACAAUUUAGAUGCCUUGUCAUUUCCACAUGUAUGUUUAUCUGAUUAAUAAAUUUAACAUUCAAAA